UACGUAGGUCCCGAGCGUUGUCCGGAUUUAUUGGGCGUAAAGGGAGCGCAGGUUGUUUUUUAAGUUGGGUGUAAAAGGCAGUGGCUUAACCGUUGUUGGCAUCCAAAACUGGAAGACUUGAGGACAGAAGAGGAGAGUGGAAUUCCAUGUGUAGCGGUGAAAUGCGUAGAUAUAUGGAGGAACACCGGAGGCGAAAGCGGCUCUCUGGUCUGUGCCUGACACUGAGGCUCGAAAGCGUGGGGAGCAAACAGGAUUAGAAACCCCGGUAGUCC
rnacentral:rRNA from 1 species